rnacentral:rRNA from 1 species
CCCGCGCCGUAUUAGCUAGUUGGUGGGGUAACGGCCUACCAAGGCGACGAUACGUAGCCGACCUGAGAGGGUGAUCGGCCACACUGGAACUGAGACACGGUCCAGACUCCUACGGGAGGCAGCAGUAGGGAAUCUUCCGCAAUGGGCGAAAGCCUGACGGAGCAACGCCGCGUGAGUGAUGAAGGUCUUCGGAUCGUAAAGCUCUGUUGUUAGGGAAGAACAAAUGUGUAAGUAACUGUGCACAUCUUGACGGUACCUAACCAGAAAGCCACGGCUAACUACGUGCCAGCAGCCGCGGUAAUACGUAGGUGGCAAGCGUUAUCCGGAAUUAUUGGGCGUAAAGCGCGCGUAGGCGGUUUUUUAAGUCUGAUGUGAAAGCCCACGGCUCAACCGUGGAGGGUCAUUGGAAACUGGAAAACUUGAGUGCAGAAGAGGAAAGUGGAAUUCCAUGUGUAGCGGUGAAAUGCGCAGAGAUAUGGAGGAACACCAGUGGCGAAGGCGGCUUUCUGGUCUGCAACUGACGCUGAUGUGCGAAAGCGUGGGGAUCAAACAGGAUUAGAUACCCUGGUAGUCCACGCCGUAAACGAUGAGUGCUAAGUGUUAGGGGGUUUCCGCCCCUUAGUGCUGCAGCUAACGCAUUAAGCACUCCGCCUGGGGAGUACGGUCGCAAGACUGAAACU